UAUGACGAUCGUACUGAAAUGGUUCGACUGAUCGUUGAUCUUGUAGAGGUGACCAUAUACGCUGAUAACUCUGAAUGGAGGUUGAGAUAAUUUCCCCCCUUUUUUUGGAUAGAUGCCUACUACAAAGGGAUCUUUUCAUAAUUUAAGUCAUUAAUCCUAGUUUCUUUUGCAUCCUUCUUUUGAUUUUUCAGUUUUCAUCUAGUUUUCUCAAAAGUAAAUUUUACAUGAAAGCUGGCAUUUCUUCUUGCUAGUGUUGAUGAGCAGGUGGCAAGGGACAUACAACUAAUAGAUGUUAUUGUUGAAAAACAAGCUCAAAUUUUUUUCUAAAGAGUGCACGUUGUUCCUGGCAGAUGUGCAGAUUCAAUCCAAAUAGCCAUUCAUGCUUAUAAUCCAGAUAAGGACUAUGUGGAAGUGGAAGCAAAACUGCGGGGGCAUCUGGAAUCUUUCUUAGAAACUGCAAGAUCCUUCAACAUGAUUUACACCAAGGAAAUUCGUUCUUGGACGCAGAUGAUGGAGGUACCACAACUUCAUGGGUUUGGGCCAGCUGCUAAUCGCUUGUUAGAGGCAUACAAGACACUCUUGAAGGGAACUUGAGGAAUCUUCGAGACGCUCAUGCAGCAAUGGCCGUUGGGUCAUCUAAAACGAUUGCUGGUCAGCCUUCGUUUGUCACAAGAAUAAUCUCAGAGUGCGAGUCUGCAUUAACAUUUUUGAAUCGUGAUCUUGGAAUUCUAUCGGCAUCUAUUGCUCGAGAGCAAGGUGGGAAGAUGAAUAUCUGAUUGGACAUAUCAUACAAGCAGAGGGGAACUACCGAAGAAGAUUUCUCUUAUUUUGGGGAUAUACCAGAAAUCACAAUUUGUACAAUUUCUUAAAUGAAUGAAUUGACAAACCAAGUCAUUUUUUAUUUUAAUUUUUUUUUCCUUUAAGAAAAUAUCAUAUGAUAUGAUAUCUGGGUCCAAAACUAAUUGGCUGGUGAGGAACUGCUUGAGAUUUUCAUUUCUUUAUAUUUUUAGGUUAAGAAUAUGAGAUGCUAUUGGUUAUGUUUGACAUGGAUUGGUGUUAUGCAUGCUGGAAUGAUCCGACUGUGAAAAUAUUAAACCA